rnacentral:rRNA from 1 species
UACGUAGGGUGCAAGCGUUGUCCGGAAUUAUUGGGCGUAAAGAGCUUGUAGGCGGUUUGUCGCGUCUGCUGUGAAAUUUCGGGGCUCAACCCCGAACUUGCAGUGGGUACGGGCAGACUAGAGUGUGGUAGGGGAGACUGGAAUUCCUGGUGUAGCGGUGAAAUGCGCAGAUAUCAGGAGGAACACCGAUGGCGAAGGCAGCUCGCUGGGACGUUACUGACGCUGAGACGCGAAAGCGUGGGGAGCAAACAGG